UGGGGGAUAUUGCACAAUGGGGGAAACCCUGAUGCAGCGACGCCGCGUGUAGGAAGACGGUCCUAUGGAUUGUAAACUACUGUCUUCGGGGAAGAAAAUGACGGUACCCGAGGAGGAAGCUCCGGCUAACUACGUGCCAGCAGCCGCGGUAAUACGUAGGGAGCGAGCGUUGUCCGGAAUUACUGGGUGUAAAGGGAGCGUAGGCGGGACUGCAAGUUGGAUGUUAAAUUUAUCGGCUCAACCGGUAAUCGCAUUCAAAACUGCGGUUCUUGAGUGAAGUAGAGGCAGGCGGAAUUCCUAGUGUAGCGGUGAAAUGCGUAGAUAUUAGGAGGAACACCAGUGGCGAAGGCGGCCUGCUGGGCUUUUACUGACGCUGAGGCUCGAAAGUGUGGGGAGCAAACA
rnacentral:rRNA from 1 species